rnacentral:lncRNA from 1 species
AUAAAUGUGGAUGGGUCGUUUGUAGAAAGAACCGAUGAAGGGGCCAUCUCCUGCUGUCUCGAGACAACCAUGUCAAUUGGACUGAUGGGUUUGCUCAAUCGGUGAGGAUCCUCUCAGCGGUCCAGGCGGAAGCAACAACGAUCAUCAAAAACCGAAUUCACUUUGAAGACAGAGUUGAACUGCAGCUGGAGUUUGAAGCAGAUAAGUUCAAUCUGAUAAAG